GCAGUGUUUUGCUACAUUAUUUAACAAAGCUUACUGUCCAUUUAAGGCACAACGUUGAAUCACCUGUCGAUUUUCUAAAUCAUGCUCAAUUUUUCAUCCAUAGCUAUGAUGAAGCCCGGAGAAUAAUGGAAUAUGAUUAUCCUAAAAGCAUUGAUGAUGAGUUUUCUGGAGUUGAUGGAAAGGUAGAUGCAGCUGUUGAAGUCAAUGGAUAUAUUUACUUCUUUUCUGGACCAAAGGCUUACAAAUAUGAUACCGCAAAGGAAGAUGUGGUUAACGUUGUGAAAUCCAGUUCCUGGAUCGGAUGUUGAGACAGUCUUGCACUAACUUUAUAUAUUUCAUCAUCAGAACCUGUGUAUGAGACACAACAACAAGACAUUUUUAAUUGUAUUAUGAUCUAAAUAUUGUUGUUGAAUGAAAUUAAAAAAAAAUACACUGUAAAAUAUAAUUACAAAAAUUAUCCCUAUUAUUUUAAUAUUUAAUUGGGUUUAAUAAAUCAAAAUUAUUUAUCCAUA